rnacentral:rRNA from 1 species
AGUGAACGCUGGCGGUAGGCCUAACACAUGCAAGUCGAACGGCAGCACAGUAAGAGCUUGCUCUUACGGGUGGCGGGUGGCGGACGGGUGAGGAAUACAUCGGAAUCUACUUUUUCGUGGGGGAUAACGUAAGGAAACUUACGCUAAUACCGCAUACGACCUACGGGUGAAAGCAGGGGAUCUUCGGACCUUGCACGAUUGAAUGAGCCGAUGUCGGAUUAGCUAGUUGGCGGGGUAAAGGCCCACCAAGGCGACGAUCCGUAGCUGGUCUGAGAGGAUGAUCAGCCACACUGGAACUGAGACACGGUCCAGACUCCUACGGGAGGCAGCAGUGGGGAAUAUUGGACAAUGGGCGCAAGCCUGAUCCAGCCAUACCGCGUGGGUGAAGAAGGCCUUCGGGUUGUAAAGCCCUUUUGUUGGGAAAGAAAAGCAGCAGGUUAAUACCCCGCUGUUCUGACGGUACCCAAAGAAUAAGCACCGGCUAACUUCGU